rnacentral:rRNA from 1 species
ACACUGCGCGCGGCAUGGGCCCACUCUCGAGCGAAACCCAAAGGCGCAGAAAACACAACUGACUCUCAUGCGGGAUUACGGGCGCGCCACGGUCCCUCGUGGGCCGGUUUGCAGUGCAUCCCUCCAUCCCCGGGUGUUGCUUACACGGGCCCGUCCUCCUCGUGGGGGCGGGGCCGGCGACAUACCGAGAGCGUGCAGCAUGUGACCCGAAAGAUGGUGAACUAUGCCUGAUCAGGUUGAAGUCAGGGGAAACCCUGAUGGAGGACCGAAGCAAUUCUGACGUGCAAAUCGAUUGUCAGAGUUGGGCAUAGGGGCGAAAGACCAAUCGAACCAUCUAGUAGCUGUUUUCCUUCCGAA